rnacentral:rRNA from 1 species
UACGGAGGGUGCGAGCGUUGUCCGGAAUCAUUGGGCGUAAAGGGCGCGUAGGUGGCGGGACAAGCGUGCGGUGAAAGCCUGGGGCUCAACCCCGGGUCGGCCGUGCGAACUGUUUUGCUUGAGCACUGUAGAGGCAGGCGGAAUUCCGGGUGUAGCGGUGGAAUGCGUAGAGAUCCGGAGGAAUACCAGUGGCGAAAGCGGCACCCUGGCGUCGUACUGACGCACAUGUGCGAAAGCGUGGGGAGCGAACGGG